rnacentral:rRNA from 1 species
AUUGAACGCUGGCGGCAUGCUUUACACAUGCAAGUCGAACGGUAACAGGCCUUCGGGUGCUGACGAGUGGCGAACGGGUAAGUAAUGCAUCGGAACGUACCCAGAGGUGGGGGAUAACGCAGCGAAAGCUGUGCUAAUACCGCAUGUGAUCUGAGGAUGAAAGCGGGGGACCGAGCAGCAAUGUUUGGCCUCGCGCCUUUGGAGCGGCCGAUGUCGGAUUAGCUAGUUGGUGGGGUAAAGGCCUACCAAGGCGACGAUCCGUAGCUGGUCUGAGAGGACGACCAGCCACACUGGGACUGAGACACGGCCCAGACUCCUACGGGAGGCAGCAGUGGGGAAUUUUGGACAAAGGGCGCAAGCCUGAUCCAGCAAUGCCGCGUGCGGGAAGAAGGCCUUCGGGUUGUAAACCGCUUUUGGCAGGAACGAAACGGUGUCCGCUAAUACCGGGCGCUAAUGACGGUACCUGCAGAAUAAGCACCGGCUAACUACGUG